UACAUGGGGUGCAAACGUUGCUCGGAAUCAUUGGGCGUAAAGCGCGCGUAGGCGGUUACUUAAGUCGGAUGUGAAAGCCCUCGGCUUAACCGAGGAAGUGCAUCCGAAACUGAGUAGCUAGAGUACUAAAGAGGGUCGCGGAAUUCCCGGUGUAGAGGUGAAAUUCGUAGAUAUCGGGAGGAACACCGGUGGCGAAGGCGGCGACCUGGGUAGAUACUGACGCUGAGGCGCGAAAGCGUGGGAGCAACAGGAUAGAACCUA
rnacentral:rRNA from 1 species